ensembl:snRNA U4 U4 spliceosomal RNA
AGCUUUGCGCAGUGGCAGUAUUCUAGCCAACGAGGUUUAUCCGAGGCACGAUUGUUGCUAAUUGAAAACUUUUCCCAAUACCUCGACAUGAUGACUUAAAAUAUAAUCAGCAUUGUCAGUUUUUGGCAGUCUCUACUGGGA